UACGAAGGGAGCUAGCGUUGUUCGGAAUCACUGGGCGUAAAGCGCACGUAGGCGGAUGUGUCAGUCAGGGGUGAAAUCCCGGAGCUCAACUUCGGAACUGCCCUUGAUACUGGCGAUCUCGAGUUCGGGAGAGGUGAGUGGAACUGCGAGUGUAGAGGUGAAAUUCGUAGAUAUUCGCAAGAACACCAGUGGCGAAGGCGGACUCGCUGGCCCGAUACUGACGCUGAGGUGCGAAAGCGUGGGGAGCAA
rnacentral:rRNA from 1 species